rnacentral:rRNA from 1 species
GAUGAACGCUGGCGGCGUGCCUAAUACAUGCAAGUCGAGCGAACAGACGAGGAGCUUGCUCCUCUGACGUUAGCGGCGGACGGGUGAGUAACACGUGGAUAACCUACCUAUAAGACUGGGAUAACUUCGGGAAACCGGAGCUAAUACCGGAUAAUAUAUUGAACCGCAUGGUUCAAUAGUGAAAGACGGUUUUGCUGUCACUUAUAGAUGGAUCCGCGCCGCAUUAGCUAGUUGGUAAGGUAACGGCUUACCAAGGCAACGAUGCGUAGCUGACCUGAGAGGGUGGUCGGCCACACGGGAACUGAGACAGGGUCCAGAGUCCUACGGGAGGCAGCAGUAGGGAACCGUCCGCAAUGGGCGGAAGCUUGACGGAGCAACGGCGCGUGAGUGAUGAAGGUCUUCGGAUCGUAAAACUCUGUUAUUAGGGAAGAACAAAUGUGGAAGUAACUAAGCACGGCUUGACGGUACCUAAUCAGAAAGCCACGGCUAACUACGUG